GUCUCCGUUGGUGAACCAGCGGAGGGAUCAUUAUAGAGUUAUCUAACUCCCAAACCCAUUGUGAACUUUACCAGUUUGUUUGCCUCGGCAGGCCUCCGCAUCUCGCCUCCGGGCGGGCGCGGAUACCACAGGUCUGCCGGCGGUCCCAUUAAACUCUUGAAUUAAUUGUAAAUCUGAGCGUUUAAAAACAAAUAAGUUAAAACUUUCAACAACGGAUCUCUUGGUUCUGGCAUCGAUGAAGAACGCAGCGAAAUGCGAUAAGUAAUGUGAAUUGCAGAAUUCAGUGAAUCAUCGAAUCUUUGAACGCACAUUGCGCCUAUUAGUAUUCUAGUAGGCAUGCCUAUUCGAGCGUCAUUUCAACCCUUAAGCCUAGCUUAGUGUUGGGAGAUUACCGCUAUGGUAACUCCCCAAAACCAUUGGCAGAGUCGAUACACCUCUGAGCGCAGUAAUUUAUUCUCGCUUUUGCGGCUUUGUAUUAGCUAUCGCCACAAACCUAUUUUUCUCAAUGGUUGACCUCGGAUUAGGUAGGAAUACCCGCUGAACUUAAGCAUAUCA
rnacentral:rRNA from 1 species